GUUUAAAUUCUGUCAUUCUGAGAUGAUUAUAAAUAUGAAAAAUACCCUAUUUUUCAUUUAAGAGCUCCAAAGCCAAAUACUCCGCUGUUACUGUAGCUUGGGAAUAUCCCAAUUUCCCUUUGGAAUAUUGUUAUAAGUGCCACAUGAAUUGGGCAACUUCCCUUGAUCUCACCCUAUGGAAUUUUUUAUCACAUAAUACAUCAUUUUGAUAAGCAAUCAUUUUCGGCCAGGUGGCAACUCAGUGAUAUGCAACCAAAAGAAACGGUAAAAACACACAACACAGAGGCAAAGUCCUUAACACAAGAAGAUUCUUUUAUGGUGAGAACAUCAUCACAUAACUUGACUCAAAAAUUACAAUUUUCUCUUAAUGUAAUCACAUCAACUAAGGGGUGGAAAAAGGGCAAAACAAAGGUCAAGACAGCACAAAACUUUAUGAUAUUUUUUUCUCUUUAUCAUUCUUUUCUUCUAAAUAAAAGGAUGGAUAGUUAAAAUUAGUAAUGAUGAAGCUCCUAAAGCCAGAAGAAGAAGAAGAAUGUCUAUCUGUGAGCAGUAACCAGAGUUUCAAUAAACCUCAACCCAUCAAACCUGGGUGCAAAUUUGUCGGUAGAAGGUGAUCUCUGUUGGUCUUUGUUUGAGCUGGAUUCCUACAAGAAAAAAACGGUGAUCAAUAUUAAGAAACUGAUAACAAUUCAAACUGACAAAGAGUUGGGCCCAAUUUGAUGGGGGGAAAUGAGUAAAAUUAAAAUCCAGAGAAUACCUAUAAAAGGAAAGGCUCAAAAUCCCAAAAAUCUCAAGACAAAUAAACUAAUCCUUCAGGGAUUUGAAGAAUUUUAUGCAAAAUCCCAACUUCUCAAAUAUGAACAGCCAAACAGAACAAAACAGAGCAAGUAACAGAACAACAAAAACAGAGAAUCCAAAGAGAAAAACAGAAAGAAAGAAGCAGCUAGCGGGCCUCAAGAUUUUCAAGAUUAUUACCUCGCGAGAAAGCUGCAUAUUAGAAUUACAGCUAAAGCUUGAUGUGGAAGAUGAAGAAGAAGAAGAAGCAGAUAUAGCCGAAGCUGCAGCGACAGAGGCAGCAAAGAGGCCAGAUUUCUUCAUUGAUUUGGAGAGAUGAGAAUUGAAACAGGAAUGGUAAAAGCCUGGAAAAUGGUUGGAUUGUUUUCUUGGGAAAGAUAAAUUAAAAAGAGAGAAAAUGAAAGGAAGUCAUCAAAGGCGUGGGG
rnacentral:misc_RNA from 1 species